UUUCACUUAGCAGCAAACGUACGAUUCAACAAGAACAUCAAAAGUUCUACGAUAAUAAAUGUUAAUCCUACCGCUACCAUCUUAAAACUUGCAAAGCACAUGCUAAAAGUAAUUCCUUUAGCUAAUAUGUGUUCCGUCGCUUAUUCACGUGUGUCAACAAUUUAUGCGAACUGUCAUGUGGAACAUAUUGAAGAGCGAUUCUACUCAUAUCCCAUUAAUCACAAAGACCUUAUCAUGUUCACACGUUACUUAAACGAAAACGUAAUUGAAGAAAAAAUAUCUAGGUAAUCCUUUGAUGCUUAAUAUAGCAAAAUAAUUACAUAUAUUAAUAAUAUAAAUUAAAAUACAUAUACAUAUAUAAAUAACAUACACAUGACGCAAAAUGUCGAGAUUUGUUCGGAGCCACAAAAGUGGCUUCCGCUGCAGGAAGCAUACGGUCAAAUAAAAGAAAUUUUUUUUCUUAAAUAUAUUGCAUUUGGAAGUUUUUGCUGAGUGUAUUUGAAGGUGUCGCUGAUUCCAAUUUUGACCUUAGAUUUACGAAAUUUCGAGUCUAAGUGCAGUAUUGACAUGAAUGAAUAUGCUCAUGACUCAUGCAGAGAACGUGGGUAUGCUUAUGUCUUUGUGGGAAAUACUUCAAUACACAUGUAUAAUGUAUAGUCAUCGGCACUGAAUGGAACAACUCAGUGUGUGUAUUAAUAGAUACAGUAUUUAUUAAAUAUCACUAACGUAUGAUCACACUCAAGAGUCACAAAAUAUUAUGUAAGUUGGCAAUUGAGUUGUAACAUCUAAAUCGGAUUUUUUACAAGUGCAUACUGUGCAUAAGUCGACAAAUAAAAUGCAGCCACUUAAAACCAA